CGCGGGAUUGGGGACGGGGCGCAGCAGGCGCGAAAACUUUACAAUGCCGGCAACGGCGAUAAGGGAACCUCGAGUGCCAGGUUACAAAUCUGGCUGUCGCGAUGCCUAAAAAGCAUUGCAUAGCAAGGGCCGGGCAAGACCGGUGCCAGCCGCCGCGGUAACACCGGCGGCUCGAGUGGUAACCGUUAUUAUUGGGUCUAAAGGGUCUGUAGCCGGCCGGAUAAGUCUCUUGGGAAAUCCAGCAGCUUAACUGUUGGGCUUUCAGGAGAUACUGUUCGGCUCGAGGCCGGGAGAGGUGAGAGGUACUUCAGGGGUAGGGGUGAAAUCUUGUAAUCCUUGAAGGACCACCAGUGGCGAAGGCGUCUCACCAGAACGGACCUGACGGCAAGGGACGAAAGCUAGGGGCACGAACCGGAUUAGAUACCCGGGUAGUCCUAGCCGUAAACGAUACUCGCUAGGUGUCGGCCACGGUGCGACCGUUGUCGGUGCCGUAGGGAAGCCGUGAAGCGAGCCACCUGGGAAGUACGGCCGCAAGGCUGAAACUUAAAGGAAUUGGCGGGGGAGCACCACAACGGGUGGAGCUUGCGGUUUAAUUGGAUUCAACGCCGGAAAUCUUACCGGGACCGACAGCGAUAUGAAGGCCAGGCUGAAGACUUUGCCGGAUUAGCUGAGAGGUGGUGCAUGGCCGUCGUCAGUUCGUACUGUGAAGCAUCCUGUUAAGUCAGGCAACGAGCGAGACCCACGCCCACAGUUGCCAGCGUACUCUCCGGAGUGACGGGUACACUGUGGGGACCGCCGCUGCUAAAGCGGAGGAAGGAAUGGGCAACGGUAGGUCAGUAUGCCCCGAAUAUCCCGGGCUACACGCGAGCUACAAUGGUUGGAACAAUGGGUAUCUACCCCGAAAGGGGAUGGAAAUCUCCUAAAUCCAAUCUUAGUUCGGAUUGAGGGCUGCAACUCGCCCUCAUGAAGCUGGAAUCCGUAGUAAUCGCGUUUCAACAGAACGCGGUGAAUACGUCCCUGCUCCUUGCACGAAUUCAAUCACUAGU
rnacentral:rRNA from 1 species